rnacentral:rRNA from 1 species
GAUGAACGCUGGCGGCGUGCUUAACACAUGCAAGUCGAACGAAGCAUUUAGGACAGAUUACUUCGGUUUGAAGUUCUUUAUGACUGAGUGGCGGACGGGUGAGUAACGCGUGGGUAACCUGCCUUGUACUGGGGGAUAGCAGCUGGAAACGGCUGGUAAUACCGCAUAAGCGCACAAUGUUGCAUGACAUGGUGUGAAAAACUCCGGUGGUAUAAGAUGGACCUGCGUCUGAUUAGCUAGUUGGUGAGAUAACAGCCCACCAAGGCGACGAUCAGUAGCCGACCUGAGAGGGUGACCGGCCACAUUGGGACUGAGACACGGCCCAGACUCCUACGGGAAGCAGCAGUGGGGAAUAUUGCACAAUGGAGGAAACUCUGAUGCAGCGACGCCGCGUGAGUGAAGAAGUAAUUCGUGAUGUAAAGCUCUAUCAGCAGGGAAGAUAGUGACGGUACCUGACUAAGAAGCUCCGGCUAAAUACGUG